AGGCCGCCACUGAGCAUCUCUAUUUGUCAUUCCUUUAGCUAUUUAGGGACCAAAGGACCAAACUUUUUAUUGCAGAUGUGUAGCUCUGUCAAUUAGAGGUGGAAUGGAGACCAACCUCCUUCCUGCCUCCUGGCUGUUCUUGAAACAGCUUAGAGCGAUUCUAUGAAAAUGUAAUAAAAAAUAAAAAUAAAAAAAAAAUAAAAAAAGAACAAAAAAAACAAGGAAAAAAAAUAAUGCUUCAACGCUUUUAAAACAGCAAGAUACUAGUUCUUUGAUACUUUGAGAGGCGCUUUGAUUACCCCGAUUGAAGUCUCUGAAACUUUCCUAUGGUUUUCUGUAUUAUAUGUCUGGAUGGAGCUGUUUAGAUACAUUGAUUGGUGGAUAUUUGGAGAAAGCAACAAAGAUAUUAAGUCAUUAACCAUGAAGAGAACACGAGGGGAACCAGGGGACUUCGAAGGCAAGGUAAUUGUUGUGAAAAGUCUGUAAAUGCUUCUAAUUCUUCCCCCCUCUUAAAAUCAUAAUAGUUGUACAGAAUUUUAAAAGGAAAAGUUUAAAAUACCUAUAUCAUAGAAGAAAAAAAAAUUAGAGGAAAGCAAAAAAAUAAAAAAAAAAAGGAAAAAAAAACCUUAUAGAAGUUAGCAUUAUGCUAAAAUCCCAGAUGUUGUAGGACUGUACUUCUGUAGAGUUUAGACUGAGCAUCGAUCCCGUCUCCCCGCGAGUGCUGUCGGACUCCGUCCCCAAGGGCCAGGCCGGACUGUCCAGACCUGCAGGCUCCGGCCAGAAGCGCCGCUCCGGAAGCGUCCUGCCGCCUCUCGCUUUGCCAGCCUGGGAGCCGCGCGCAUGCGCGCUCUCUCUGCCCUUCUCACCUCUGCUUCACUCGCCUUCUGUGCUUGUUCCGGAGACUUUCCAGGCCAGGGAGAACUGGGAACUUCUCAUCUUCAAACAACUAGACAACACACACACACACAAAACCUUAAACAAGAGAGAGAAAACAAACAAUCUUUGAAGAAUUUCUGAAACUGUUUACAAGGAAUUUUGAAAAACAGGGAUGUUUAAAUGAUGCUGGCUCUGUUUUUCUGUAAAUAAAUUUGCAUAUUUUGUAGGACUUUUAAUUGUAAUGAUAGAGAAAAAACAAGGAAAACUAUUUAAUGAAAGCACGAUAUUUAUCUUUGGUAAAUGACUUUAGAGCAGUUAAAGACAUUGCUUAAAAACUCAGAAUCAGAAAAACACUGAAUUAUUUAAGAACACAUAUAUUUUAAAGUAUAACAUAUUUAUUAUAAUUUAUUUGCACCUUGGGAAGACUUGCUUUGCAUUCUGCCUCAAGAGCUUCUCAUUGAUGUCCAUCUGGAGGCCAGGGGGGUCUUGGAACUACCAUUUUUUUUUCCUUUAGAUCAACAAAAUUCUGGUUGCCCUCAGGCCUCCUUCCUUUUCUUUCCAUCUAUUUUGUUGUUGUUUUACUUCAUUUAGUUUUCUUUUUCUUUCUCUUGACUCCUCCUUUUAGGAUGUCCAGAUGUUGUAAAAAAACAAAAACAAAAAACCCAACAGCUGCAGUUCAAUACAACUGCUCUUUUCACACGACUCCCUAAACUCCUUGUAACCUUCUGUAACUAUUGGAUGACGCUUUCUCCAGCUUAGCCCUAAAUAAAGCACAGUUUAAAAAAAAAACC
rnacentral:lncRNA from 1 species